rnacentral:rRNA from 1 species
UGGGGAAUAUUGCACAAUGGGGGAAACCCUGAUGCAGCGACGCCGCGUGAACGAAGAAGGUAUUCGUAUCGUAAAGUUCUGUUCUAUGGGAAGAUAAUGACAGUACCAUAGAAGAAAGCUCCGGCUAAAUACGUGCCAGCAGCCGCGGUAAUACGUAUGGAGCGAGCGUUGUCCGGAAUUAUUGGGCGUAAAGGGUACGCAGGCGGUUUAAUAAGUCGAAUGUUAAAGAUCGGGGCUCAACCCCGUAAAGCAUUGGAAACUGAUAAACUUAGGUAGUGGAAAGGAAAGUGGAAUUCCUAGUGUAGUGGUGAAAUACGUAGAUAUUAGGGGGAAUACCAGUAGCGAAGGCGACUUUCUGGACACAAACUGACGCUGAGGUACGAAAGCGUGGGGAGCAAACAGG